GACGAACCGAGCGAACGUUGUUCGGAAUCACUGGGCUUAAAGGGCGCGUAGGCGGGCCGCCGCGUCCGGGGUGAAAUCCUCCCGCUCAACGGGAGAACGGCCUCGGAUACGGGCGGCCUGGAGGGGGGUAGGGGCGUGCGGAACUGUGGGUGGAGCGGUGAAAUGCGUUGAUAUCCACAGGAACUCCGGUGGCGAAGGCGGCACGCUGGACCCCACCUGACGCUGAGGCGCGAAAGCUAGGGGAGCGAACAGG
rnacentral:rRNA from 1 species